UACGAAGGGGGCUAGCGUGGUUCGGAAUUACUGGGCGUAAAGCGCGCGCAGGCGGCUAUCCAAGUCAGUGGUGAAAGCCCGGAGCUCAACUCCGGAACUGCCAUUGAAACUGUUUAGCUGGAGUAUGAGAGAGGUGAGUGGAAUUCCCAGUGUAGAGGUGAAAUUCGUAGAUAUUGGGAAGAACACCGGUGGCGAAGGCGGCUCACUGGCUCAUUACUGACGCUCAUGCUCGACAGCGUGGGGAUCAAACAGG
rnacentral:rRNA from 1 species